rnacentral:rRNA from 1 species
GGAGUCUGGACCGUGUCUCAGUUCCAAUGUGGGGGACCUUCCUCUCAGAACCCCUAACCAUCGUCGGCACGGUGGGCCGUUACCCCGCCGUCUACCUAAUGGUACGCGAGCCAAUCCGUAUGCAAUGAAUCUUUCAAUAUCUCCCCAUGCAGGGAAAUAUGUUACGGGGUAUUACGCGACGUUUCCAUCGACUAUCCCCCACAUACGGGCAUGUUGCUCACGCGUUACUCACCCUUUCGCCGGUCGCCGGCAUGUAUUGCUACACCCGCUGCCCCUCGACUUGCAUGUGUUAAGCCUGCCGCUAGCGUUCAUC